AUGUCCCGUGAUGGUGCUCGAAGCUCUCGGCCGGGGUUCCAAGGGAGGGUUUAUGGGGUUAACCGCGGCGCCGCCGCCGGAUCGGCCAUGGCGCCGGCCGCGAGCAUGGUCGGAGUCGAUGAGAUCGAGAGAGAGGGGGGAGGCUUGGUUCUGGUCCCCGUAAGAAUGUGUAGAUAUAGCCUUGCGGAUCUGCUGAGCUCCUUGCAAGCAGGCAUCUCCAUUCCAUUCUUGUGGCAAGAAAUUUUUGAUGUUGUCUGUGGGGAUCAUGUCCCAGGAUCGCUUAAGAAAAAACAGAAGGUGGCUGAUUUGGCGCCGUCCGUAAAAACUCAUAUGGUCCUACCUGCAGUGUGGCAGAUCCUUGUUAUCAGGUGGUGCAUGGUUGAUCUGGUCAGUGUGUUCGGGUUGGCACCGGCAAAGGAGCUUGCAUGGUACAACUGGACACCAUGUAAACGACUUAAGUACGUAGUCUCCAGGUGCGAGGUGUCAUUUCCAAGUAUUGUCCCUAUCCUAUCCAGUCCAUUCAAUACAAGGAUAAAUACCCCGAGACGGGGACGUAAAAUGAACCGGCCGGCUGUCGGGUGCACUGGACUGGAGCCGUGCUCGGUCCGCCUCACCUUAUCUGCAUUUCUGCAUCGCGUGUGGUGUGGGUGUGGCUGCGAGGGGUACAGCUGUGCGGCGCCAAGCAAUGGAAGGCGUCCAUGCGCCCUGCGUGCGCUGCUGCGGGAGGUCGCCCUCUCUCCUCUUGCAGUACGGUACAAGCCAAGGGACGGGAUUGGUCAUGGGGUUGAGCUGGUGCUGCUGGGUGCUCCGUGUCCGUGGCCAUGGGGCUCCCUUCCCUUGAUUGCGUUCGUCCAUUGCUGCGGCCGGGAAAUUGUCAAUCAUGCUUGGCGAGGACAAGCCGUGAUCGAUGCUCCAAUUAUUUGCGCCACCGACGACACACAUGGUAAACGCGGUGUAGGUGGUACUGCGAGGUCUGCCGGUGUAGUUGGUACCGGCCAGAGUAUAUCAAUCUGGGAAGAUAAGCGGAUCCCUGGUCUUGACUCUUUGAGUCCUUCGGUGAUGCCGGGAGGGACUACACUUGCUACUGUUAGUGAGUUGAUUGAUGAUGGGAACUGGACUUGGCGGGGGGAGCUGAUUCAGAAUGUUUUUAUCCCUCCGAAAGCUGAUGCUAUUCUCAAUAUACCACUCCAUCAUGGGGGUGGAGAGGAUUUUUUUACUUGGGCCCAUGAAAGGAACAACAACUACUCUGUCAAAUCUGCGUACCUUGCUCUCGUGACUCGCAGCGAGCGUUUAGCUUUAAAGGAAGGGACGGUUCUUAGCACCUCAAAUACUGAGGGACGGAUGUGGAAGCGUCUUUGGAAGCUCAAUGUUCUGCCUAAAGUUCGGGUAUUCUGGUGGAGAGUCGUACGGCAAAUUCUCCCGGAUGAGUGCACCUUACGGUGUAGGCAUAUACAAGAACUUGGAAGAUGCAAAGUUUGUUUUGUUAUGGACGAGGAUCUAAUGCACGCUCUAGUGCAUUGCUCGCACGCAAAGAUGUUCUGGGCUGAGGCGUAUUCAUGGUUGGGUGUAGGCCAGCCAUGUCUCCACCCAGGAACUUGGUCGAGAGACAUAUUGUGUGAUGAAAAGUACACGGAUGUACAUAGGUCGCAGAUGAUCACCGUUAUGUGGGCGAUAUGGCACUCUAGGAACAUAAUCACACAUGACGGCGAGAGGCUAGAUCCGGUUACAACUAUUCGACGCAUCAAGGAAGACUUGGCUAUCCUGGAGAUACCGCGUUCGUGUGCGGCAGUUCUGCCAGGCCAUGGGUGGAGACCCCCUGAUCCAGGUGUGAUUAAGGGCAACACUGAUGCGGCGAUGUGCAUGGAUUCGGACAAAUGUGCUGUUGGACGAGUUGCCCGUUCCAACACCGACGGUGGAGGUAGCGCGGCCGCGGCGGCGGUGCCGGCGAAGCUCGCGGUGCUCCCUGAAGGCCGCCCGCCGCGCCUCUCAUUUGUAGCGCCUCACACGGAACCACACCCAAGGCCCGUGGGAGAGAGGAGGAGGCCCGGUGGUGGAGAUCGAAAGCCAGAGGAGGGGCGUGGCAGGAGACGAGGAAGGAGAGGAGGUGGCAGCGGCGAGAGGAGGAUCCCGGCUUGCGAGGAGACCCUGGUGGCAGUGCUGAUGACCAUCAUAACUGUCUUCCUGAUGAUCUACAAGCAUGGAGGUUAUUGUUGUUUCGAUGUUCUAUUUCCAUGA
rnacentral:rRNA from 1 species